CCCUUAGAUGUCCUGGGCUGCACGCGCGCUACACUGAUGUGUCCAGUAAGCACCUAACCUAUUCCGAGAGGAGCGGGUAACCUUAGCAAAGCACAUCGUGAUGGGGAUAGAUUAUUGCAAUUAUUAGUCUUGAACGAGGAAUUCCUAGUAAGCACAAGUCAUCAGCUUGUGUUGAUUACGUCCCUGCCCUUUGUACACACCGCCCGUCGCACCUACCGAUUGAAUGGUUCGGUGAAGAUCUCGGACUUCGAUAUUUAUUCUUUAUUGAGUUUAUAUUGUGGGAAGUUAUCUAAACCUCAUCAUUUAGAGGAAGGUGAAGUCGUAACA
rnacentral:rRNA from 1 species